CACAAGGAAGAGGUUGUGUGAGCACACAGAAGGCAGCUGCCUAUAAUUUAAGAGAAGAGAGCUCAGAAUGAAACCUACAUUGCUGGCACCUUGAUCUUGGAUUUCCCAGACUCUAGAACUGAUCACCAGUAAAAAGUUCAACUAUUUUAAAAGAAGUGGUAUUAGUGGCCAUUUUUGGCUCAUUCCUAAUACCAAAUUGAAAUCAACAUUCCACCAUUAAGUAUAGCUAUAUUUGAAGAAACUUGGGUGCUAACAAUAUAAAGAAGAGUUAUGAGAUCAGCAUCGAGGGGAGGAUAGAAGUCCCAGAUGGGAUGAAUCCACAUAAUAUAGAGUGUUUGUUACUUACCUCUCCUCUCACUGUCUCACUGCCUUGUCUCACUUCUUUCACUUAAUAACUAGAGCAUCACCAGCUCCUACUUCAGCACCUCCAGUCCACACCGCCUGAACCACUGACGCAAGCCUAGUCUUGGUGUAUGCCCAGCGUCCUCUAGUGGCAUAGGAGUCACUGCCUCAUCCUCACCUCUGCAUAUACCUUAUAUGGAUCAUGAUUUUAAAAAUAUAGCAACAAUAACAAAGUACAAAACCCCCUACUUACUUAUGAGACAAUUGGGGUAGGUUGAACACUGAUUGAAUAUUUGAUUGUGUCAAGGAAUUAUUAUUAAAUGUUUAAGCGUG